UUUUCAUUACAUUACAUUACAUUACAGGCAUUUGGCAGACGCUCUUAUCCAGAGCGACGUACAACAAAGUGUAUAACCAUAACCAGGAACAAGUAUGACGAAAACCCUAGAGAGAAGUACCGGUCCAAGUGCAGGGAACAACCGCAUAGUUCAACUUGGACCCUGAAGGUUAAACUGAUUAACACUAACACAACGAGAACGUUACAACCCUAAGCUUACAGUCAUUUACAGGGGGGUAGGGAGGGAUGGGGAGAGGUGCAGCCUGAAGAGGUGAGUCUUCAGUCGUCGCUUGAAAUGGGUCAGUGUCUCAGCUGUUCUGACCUCCACGGGGAGGUCAUUCCACCAUCGUGGGGCCAGAACAGACAGGAGACAUGACCAAUGUUUUAAAUUUGAUGCGAGCUAUAACAGGCAGCCAGUGGAGGGUAGUGAGCAGGGGAGUGACGUGGGAGUGUCUGGGGAGGUUGAA